GAUUUUAACCAUUUUGGUAGUUCUCGAGUAUAAACCAGAAAAUGGUUGAGUAAUUUGAUGUUCUCUGUAUCGCCAUUUUGAAAGCGGUUUACAUUGCAGCUGGACGCCCUUAAAGCAAAUUUUUUUCUCCGCAGUAGUGUAUCUUGUUUUCCAAUUAAUCGGUUUUGGAAAUUGUAGAAACAUCGAAUUUGUAAUAGAUGGGGAAAGGGUACCGAUUGGACGACGCCGGUUCAAUUCCGUUUGAAACACCAACAAAAUUGACGAGGACGAGGACUUAUUCACCGGUCCAACGCUACAAAAUGAAAUGGUUUCUAAGAAGUUCAAAAGGGAUCGUUUUUUCACCAUCCGGAAGGAGCUGGAACGGGCCGGAAUGUUCGAAAAACAUUUCCCGCUUGGCGCAGAUGAAUCGACCCCCCUCUCGUUAACGGAUAGCAAACUAAUGAUAAUGGCAUUGGCCAUCCGCAGCACUCGUUGGGGGAACUUCACUUCGGCUACCGGGUGAUUCGGCUGCUUUUAGUAUUUGCCCAAACUGGGCUGCAAUAUUAUUAAAGGCAAAUAAAACAUUAUAAUGAGCUAUAUAGUUUAUAAGUAUAACGUAAAAGAAAUGAAAUAAAUAUUCUGACAAAUCUUUUUUUCCAAA